rnacentral:rRNA from 1 species
UACGGGGGGGGCAAGCGUUAUCCGGAUUCACUGGGUUUAAAGGGUGCGUAGGCGGGCAGGUAAGUCAGUGGUGAAAUCUCCGGGCUUAACCCGGAAACUGCCGUUGAUACUAUCUGUCUUGAAUAUCGUGGAGGUAAGCGGAAUAUGUCAUGUAGCGGUGAAAUGCUUAGAUAUGACAUAGAACACCCAUUGCGAAGGCAGCUUACUACACGAUCAUUGACGCUGAGGCACGAAAGCGUGGGGAGCAAACAGG